GGGGCUAUAGCUCAGUGGUAGAGCACUUGCCCCUCACACAUGAGGUACUGGGUUCAAUCCUCAGCCCUA
rnacentral:tRNA from 1 species